GACGAACGCUGGCGGCGUGCCUAAUACAUGCAAGUAGAACGCUGAAGGAGGAGCUUGCUUCUCUGGAUGAGUUGCGAACGGGUGAGUAACGCGUAGGUAACCUGCCUGGUAGCGGGGGAUAACUAUUGGAAACGAUAGCUAAUACCGCAUAAUAGCAGUUAUUGCAUGAUAACUGUUUGAAAGGUGCAAUUGCACCACUACCAGAUGGACCUGCGUUGUAUUAGCUAGUUGGUGGGGUAACGGCUCACCAAGGCGACGAUACAUAGCCGACCUGGGAGGGGGAUCGGCCACACCGGGAAUGAGACCAGGGCCAGACCUCUAAGGGAGGCAGCAGUAGGGGAUUUUCGGCAAUGGACGGAAGUCUGACCGAGCAACGCCGCGUGAGUGAAGAAGGUUUUCGGAUCGUAAAGAUCUGUUGUAAGAGAAGAAAGAGUGUGGGAGUGGAAAGUUCACACUGUGACGGUAUCUUACCAGAAAGGGACGGCUAACUACGUG
rnacentral:rRNA from 1 species